CAAAGGAAAAGGAAAUAACACCCUUCCAAUUAUCUAAGAAGAUUAAGGUACUUUCAAUCCCGAGCACGAGUCGUAAAGUUGGAGUCGAGUUCGAGGAUCGAGGGAUGUGUUCAUAUGGAAGGCGUGUGGAUCUUGUGUGCUCUUAAUUUAGCCAUAUUGUUUUACUUAUAUAGUUUAAUUCUAAAGACUUUCGAUACCGUCUUAGAUAUCUAUUAUCGUACUCUUCCACCCCUCGGGGGAUCUUAUUAGUAAGAACAUUGCAUCUAAUAAUAAUUAGGAUUUUGAUUU